UCGCCUGUUUAUCAAAAACAUGGUUUCUUGAUUUAUUUAAGAGAUCUAACCUGCCCACUGAAUUUUUGAAUGGCCGCGGUAUUUUGACUGUGCAAAGGUAGCAUAAUCAUUAGUCUUUUAAUUAAGGGCUGGCAUGAAUGGUUGAAUGAGGUAAAAACUGUUUUAUAUUUAUUUUAAUUGAAUUUAGAUUUUAAGUAAAAAUACUUAAAUAAUAUUAAGGGACGAGAAGACCCUAUAGAAUUUAAUAAGUGUAGUAGUAAUUAGGUUAAUAAUAGAUUUUUGGUUACUAUGAAUUUUAUUUAGUUGGGGUGAUUAGAAAAUAAGAUUAACUUUUCUUUAAUUUUAAUAUUAUAAUUAAUUGUAAGAUCCAUAAUUAAUGAUUGGAAGAUUAAAUUACCUUAGGGAUAACAGCAUAAUUUUUUUUGAGAGUUCAUAUUGAGAAAAAAGAUUGUGACCUCGAUGUUGGAUUAAGAUUAACUUUAGGUGUAGAUGUUUAAAGUUUAGGUCUGUUCGACCUUUUAAAUCUUACAUGAUCUGAGUUCAAACCGGAGA
rnacentral:rRNA from 1 species